UGUACCACCAUGAAAGACAUUUUCUUUGUCCCCCUUUGCAGCUAAACAUGACAUUCCACUUGUUCAUUGUGGCGCUUGCUGGAGCUGGAGCAGCAGUCAUUGCUAUGGUCCAUUAUCUCAUGGUCUUGUCUGCCAACUGGGCCUAUGUGAAAGACGCUUGCAGAAUGCAAAAAUAUGAGGAUAUUAAAUCAAAGGAGGAACAAGAGCUUCAUGAUAUUCAUUCUACUCGCUCUAAAGAGCGGCUUAAUGCUUACACAUAAAAGAAACCUUGUCUUACUUUCUAACGUGAAUGCUUUGUUGUUUAACUGAAGGCCAUCCAACCAUUUUAAAAACAAUUGAAAGUGCUUCUCACAAAAGAUAGUUUGGGUGACUUACAUAUCACCCACGUACAAUUCUUGGUUUUCUAGCACUUGGUUUCUUAAUUAGUUCUUACUUUGUGCGACCAUUCUCUACCGCAAAGCUCCUAAAUAGCCUUUCCUGAAUCCUUUUAAGCUAAUUAGUUCGGCUAGAUCAAGGAUACUAAACUAUUGUCAAAUACAAAUAUGUGUUUGAUUUUUUUUUAAUCACUUUGUAUGUGUUAUGCAUAACACCUUUUGCAUUGUUUCUUACAUGUUUUUGGAAAAAAAAUAGCUUUUUAUACUUUUUAGUUUUAAGUUCAAUAACUACUUUAACUACAGGUAUACUUCAAAGGGACCAUUGUACAUCAUGUACAAUAUAUAAAAAAAACAUUCUGAUGAUUUUCCUUUAUAUUUGGAAAACUUGCCAGAUGGACCCUGAUCAACUUGAAUGAAGGUCCUAAGAACGUUUUAAACAAUUGAAGGUGCAAUUUCUAAAUUUGUAAUAGUGGGUAAAAAAAAAAAAAAAAAAAGGAAAAAAAGAGAAAAAAGAAAAAAAAUAAAAAAGUGCUUCUUAUCUUUCUUAACAUUGUAUUAUUAUUGAUGUUUUUAAAGAAUAUUCUCUCGUUCCAAGUUCCAUGAGUGAUAAUUCCUGUUUGUAUUGUGAGCAUGCAGACCGUGGUGCUAACAAUGCAUGGCCACUUGCCUUUUGAAGGAAUUCAAUACCACGGCUACCUGUUAAAGAGUUACGUUAUAUAGAAAAUUGUUAAUUCAGUGAUAUAGUUAUCCAUAGUUUUUUACGAAUGAUCUCUCUUUAAUUGAUGGUUAUGCUAAAUUGGAGCUGUUCAUGUGAUGAUGUAAGAAAUUACUGCGUAGCUACAUUUAUGAAAGUAAUAUAUCAAAAAUACAGUGACCGUAGGAGUCAGAUGUCUUUUUACCUGCUUUAAAAAUUUAAAUGGAUUGCACCUGUCUGAACUGUAAAAGAUAUAUUAAAGGACACUUCCAUAAAUGUUAUAGCUUGGCUUCUAGCUUUCCUACACAUACUGGUUUACCUUUAUUAUGUUGAAGUAAGGUGAAAGACCACUACAGAGCUUAUUAUUUGAAAGUGUAGUAAUAUAUUUGAACCUUUAUUUUGAUAGGAAAAUGUUAUCAGAAAGAUAGGUCACCUUAACCUGAAAGAAUUACCUGUAUCAAAAACAAAACAAAAAACCCUAUUUAAGAAAAGUCACUAUUAUUGGACCAAAUUUGGUGGAUUUUUUUUUUUUUUUGCCUAUUUCUAAUGCUACAAGAAUGCUGUAAAGUGUCUUUUAAAGUGAUGUAGCCUGACAAGACAUUUUUGUCAGUGUUAAAAACCUUAGGUAGUUUUGUGCACUUAUUGGACCAUUGUGAAUUCUCUCUCAGUGUAAGUGCAUUUCUAAUAAAACUUCUUGAGUAAAACUCUUCUUUGUACUAUUACUAGUCAUGCAUCAUCAGUAAUUUUUAACAAUUCUUGUAGUAAGUAGAGGGUAAUACUAUAGUUACUUGUGGCAUGAUAAUGCAUUAAGUAGUAUGAGUUGAUUGAAUUUUUUUCUUUCCUUUUGCUUGUUUUGGGGGUUUUUUGGUUGUGUUUUUGAUUUGGGGUUUUGUUUUGGUUUGUGUUUUGGUUUGGAUUUUUUUUACACUUAGGCUGUCCUAUGGGGUCAACACUUUUCUGAUAAUGUGCAGUACCAGUAUUACAGUUCUGCAAAAAAGUAUUAGGAACCUCUUUUUUUUUUUUUUUUUUGGAUCUAUAUUGUAGUGUUUUAGUUUUGUGUCUUAAAACGUUUGUGCUGAUUUUUUUAAAACUAUGUCUUUUAAACUCAUGUAAUGAUGUUAAUGCUUUUGGCUCUUCUCUGGUAUUAGAGUUUGUAUUUUCACAAAGAAUGCUUUGUAGCAGGCAUUAAAAUUAAUCUGUUUUGUACAUAAAUGUGCCAACAGCUUCAUGGUGGCGUUUUUGAAAUGUAGAACAAAGUGCUUGCAAAUAUGUAAUAAACACACUUGUGUACUUUG